CUCCAUAUCUUGAAAUACCUCAUCCUCCAUGACUGGUAAGCUUGUGGCAGAACUUCUUAGUACCUUAAGAGCAUGCUUCCAUUCUUCCCUUGUAAUUCUACUGGCCAUGGCUCUACCAAUGGUAAUGAGAGCGAUUGGCAACCCUCUACACUCUUUAGCAACAUCUUGAGCCAGAGGAACAAUAUCAAGAUCAAUAUCCCAACCUUCUUCUGAAACAAUGCCCAAGCUUCUUCCCAAUCCAAAGGUUUCACUUUUAUCAUCUUUUCAGCUUCCAUUUGCCUGCCUACUCUGUAAGAGCGUGUUGUGAAUACUAUCUUGCAUCUGUUUUGUCUUGUAGGCAGAGGAACCCCAAUUUCUUCAAGGUCAACUCGUUGCCAUAUGUCAUCUAACAAUAAUACAAAUUUCUUUCUACUCAAUGCAUGGAAUAUGUCAUCUGCUUUCUCACGGAGGCUUUUCUUUUCCCAUUUCUCAUCCAAAAAGCCAAUUUUUUUCCAAAUCUGCUCUUGAAUCUUCUCAAGUUUCAAAUCUUUAGAAACCACAGCCCAAAUCAAAACAUCAAAAUUAUUAGAUAUAGUGGCAAAUCUAUUGUUGAUUUGAGUAAGGAGAGUAGUUUUACCGACUCCCCCCAUACCGUAUAUGCCAAAA
rnacentral:misc_RNA from 1 species